GUGAGUCAUCGAAUCUUUGAACGCAAAUUGCGCUCGAGGCUUCGGUCGAGAGCAUGCCUGCCUCAGUGUCGGUUUAACCCUCGCCCUCCCUCUCCCUGUCUCCGGACGGUGUGAAAGGGGAGCGGACCUGGCCGUCCCGGUCUCUCGACCGGGUCUGCUGAAGCGCAGAGGCUUGAGCGGGAUUCCCUUCCAUGCGGGAACAACAGACCGGUAGGUGAGCCCUUCUCCUCGAGAAGGAUCGCAUGCCGCUGCUGGACCCCGGGACCCGCUGGACGCCCAGCAGGAGACGGCGCGACCGGU
rnacentral:misc_RNA from 1 species